rnacentral:misc_RNA from 1 species
UCCUUUUCCUCUAUUUCAAUUUCCAAGUUUAAUGAAUAUCAAAACUUCACUAAAUAAAAGGCAAAUGUGAUAUUUCCUAAAAUGUAAAUAAAAAAACAUUCAAUCGAGCGUAUACAGUCUCAAACUUACAUGUCCCUAAAAGUAAAAUUAAAUAUUUUAUUCUUCCUCCUCGAUCGACCUCCAAAGAAUAAUGUCCCUAUUGUUGGAAGAAACGAUUACACUCGGGAUAGGCAGAGAGGAAAUUUGAUACGACCUGCGAAGACAAUGCCUGCCCUCGUAUGAGAAUAUGAUUGAAUCUCUCUAUCAAUGAAAAUAUAAUCCUCUGCUCAUCUAACUCCUCCCAGACACCUAAUUCAAUAUCAUGCUCUUGAUCUUCCACAUCCCCCUCUUCAACAAUUGUGUCAUCAUCCAAUGCUAUUGCUGCUUUUGCAUAUCUUUCUAGAAACUCUUCUUCAGUUUCUUCACGUUCCUCAUCCUCGGAGUCCACGUCAUCAUAGUCAGUGUCAUCUUCUUCUUCAUCAAUGUCUUCGGUUUCACAAUUGCUUUCUUCAUCUUCUGUUUCAUCUUGUGCUUCUUUCAACCGUUUUGAUGCCUCCAUCAAUGAACUAAAGCAGUCCCUUAACAAGCCAACUACUGAAUUAUCUUGUUCUAAAAGCCGCUCAAUUACCUUGGCUAGCGUCAUUACUCCUAACUUUAUCUCAGACUUUGCCACCAAACCAGGUUCGAAAGAGCCAGUGCAGGCAAAAGCAAGUGCAGAUCCCCAAGUUGUGAAACCUCCAUUCAUAUCCUUCUCUAAAAUCGCUUCCAAAGUAUCAGGAUACCAUAAAUAGCAUGAUGAUAUAACAAGCAACAAAGGCUUCCAAAGUGAACAAGGUUUGCUUUGAAUUUGUUUGAAACGAGAAAAUGCGGCCUGGCUAAAAGCAAUUGCCAAUGACUGCUUCACAUCUUCAGUUUCAGUAGAGUAACAUGGGACAUGUAGUAGCGUAUGGACACAUGAGCAAGCCCUCCAUGUUGCAGAUGAAUAUUGCAAAACAGCCUCUCUAACAAAAGCACCAAUGCCUUCAAUGAUAGAUUGUUGUGGCACAGGCGGAGCAGGAGGUGAGGGCAUCUGUCUAACAAUAAAAUUCUUCAGUCCAUACUUUCUGUGUAGGUUAACAACUUCAUUAAUGCACUCAAAGACUGAUAGAUCUUCAGAUUCUUCCCAGGCAUGCCAGUCAGCAAUCAGACCAGCCCAAACUAAUAGUAAAUCAGAUAGUUUAAGCUGCAGAAUCAUGUCACUUCCAGUAACUGAAAGCAUAAUGGAACGCAGCAGCAUUGAUGAAUCAUCUAUGCAUGUAGGAACUGGAGAAACCUGACCUUCUUGGUCCCCUAGAUGCAUAGGGGCAAGCCAAGUCUGUUGCAAUAGUGCUGACAAAGCUUUACCAAUGGCAGCUUGGCCAGAUGCCCACUUUUCACUUGAUUCAAUCUGCUCAAAGUCUUCAGGCAAGAAGCUCUCCCAAGAUUUAGCCAUUACUGCUAAUGCUGCAAAGCCUCUUUCAACCACUUGAGGCCAUGACUCCAGACUAGGAUGCACAAACUUCAAGAGUGCUCCAACUAUUGAUGAAAUCAUGAAUGGGAUAUGAUCUGCAAUGUUUUCAUCACCAGCCUCCGCCACUGAGCUUAGAAGCUGAAAUAAAAUCGAAGUCUCUUCUUCCUCUUCAAUAUAUAUCCUACUAAUCACAACUUGAAGAACUGGUAACCACUCAGGUGGCUGAUAUUCGUUUUCAAGAAGCUCCAUAAUCGCCCCAGCUGCAGAAACCCGUACAGGAUGACAGGAAGUAUCCUUGUUAUCUGGCAUUGCCAGUGCCUUAAGCAAUGAGGAAUAUAUAUCUGCACUCAUGUCUUCUGGCAGACAGGACGCUAGCUCCCCAAGAACCCAAUUUGCAGCAGCAACCAAGUAUGGUGGAAUUACAGACAUGGUAUAUAAUGGUAAGACCCGAGCCCGAACCAGAACAGUUAUGUAUCCAGUUUGUUGCUCUGUUAGAAAAUCUUGCAGCCCACCAAAUGCCAUUAGAACCCCAUAAUAAUCAUUUAUAAUGCUUGCUUUGGAUGCAUUAGCAUCAGAAGGAAGGGGAAACUUAGACAAAAAUGGAAGGACAAACAAAUCCCCCAUAGAACGCUGAUUAUCUCUCUUGUUCUUUUCACCCUUCUUACGCUUAGAAGAUGCAGCUGAACCAUUACAAGAGAUCACCGUAGGUGGCCCCUGUAAGCAUUAAGAGACAGCAUGAACAAUAGUUCCACUAAGCACUGGCCCAUAUUAUAUCAAGGACCAGAAAGCACCAACCUUUGACAUUGAAAUAACACCAAGUAAAUUUAUUGCACUUUUUCUUGCUGUAAACAGAUCCUCCCUCCACCCAGAAAUUUCUUCAAGUUCAGACGGAAGAUUCUUUCGUAUGUACUCUUCUGCAUCUUCAUCCCACUCCGAAAUAUCCUUCUCAUUCAGGACUAAUGCUGGGAAGAUUGCAGAAUCCAACAAAAAUGAAAAAUGGGGUGAAACCAAUCUCCAUCCCUGUUUCCAGUUAAACUAAAGUUUAGUAAAAGAGUCAGAUUUAAACCAAGAACAACCAAUGGUCCACACACCAAACAGAAAGUGGUAGACUUUCAUCAGUUAAAUUUUUUUAAUAAAAAAGACCUUUUGAAUAAUAAUAAAGUAAUAAGCACAACUCUAACAUUAAUUGACAUAAAAUAAUUAUAAAAAAGGCAUAAUGAAAUUACCGGGCCUGUCUCCAGAAUGUGAGAAAUUAAAUCAAAAGCUAAUGAAAUGAUUCUCUCUGACAGGAAAUCUAGCUUCUGCACAUGAAGAUUAUGACUUUCAAGUUCUAAUAUGACAAGCAAGUGAUAGACAGACAGGAACACGAGCAGUUAAGCAACUGAAAACCCAGGCCGAGCAUUUCAAGAAAGUCAUGUCAAACCAGCAACAUUUAAUGAAACAACAUAGUAAAAGAAACAUGGGAGAAAAUAGAAAGUUCAAACACAUGUAUAAAUGCACACAGGUGAUAAAUAGAUCCAAGUGCUUUAAAGAACUUAAUGAGACUUUCAAGCUCUGCUUUUGUGCAGAGUGCAUUAGUAUUUAAAACUAUUCAUGAUGCCAACUGCCUAGUAAUUAUCAUUAAUGAACCUUAAAAGGAAAAAAAGAAAGAACAUUACACUGAUAUUUUUGGUGUAUCUAACUAUUUUCAGGGCACAGUUUAAUAUAUCUGGCAUUAACCUGCAAAGGAAAAUGACAUGAAGAGUAUCCGUGGCUACUUAAACCUGAUAAAAAUUAAAUAGGAGGUACUCUAUUACUUGUCAGAAUACUUCCGGUGUCGGGUAACCAGAGCACAAAAUAUGAGCAAAAUCCUCUUUCCAGCCUUCAGUCUCAGCAAUUGCCCAUCUUCUGAAGUAACAUCAUGAUCAAAGCUCAAGGAAUCAAGAAGCCUAGUCAAAUUCUGGCAAAGCGAAGGCAGAGAAGGAGCUAAUGCAGAUGGCAUGUGUGACCUCACAGUGAAAUAUAUGCAUUUGCAUACAAUGAGAAGGAUCUUCUCUGCUUCCAACUCUGUCCCACCAUGGGUAGAUAAAGCCUUCUCCAGGAGGUGAUGGAAUACAGCUAACAAGGAUACAAGAAUUUCUUUUGCAAUUAGCUCUAGCUGUGGUGGCACUGGCUCCUUAGCUACUUUAGGGUUUAGAAAGUACUGGAAAGGUCUGAUAAGUGCCUGGAGAACUGUAAGGGCAUUAAUGGUAUUCCAUUCACAACUUGUACCAUUGUUGAUAAGAUUGCUGUUCCAAAUAGCAGACCGUAGUUCAGGUACAAGUUCAGGCCAACAAUUCUGCUCAACAAACUCAGCAACAACAAUGAUCCGAAACACUUCAAUUAAGACUUUUACAACCGCAGGUUCCACUUGAAGCAAAAUUCGCAUAAGAUGAUCCUUAAGCUCCUUGCUCACUUUUGACUUUGGACCAUUUCCCUUGAUAUUUUGCCUGGUGAAGUUCUUAAGGUAUGUAGCGGCAGCAACUCUUUGACCUUGAUUUUCACCUCCAGCGGCAACGGAGAGGAGGGAGAAGGGAAAGUGAGGGAGGAGAGAGAGGCGAUUUAGAGCUUCUGUGGCCGUAUGGACGACAUUGACAUCAGAACUGAGCGUGUCGUUUAGAAGCUGAGGAAUUUGGCACACAUCCAUUGGUUACCACUCGGCUGCAAUUGGUAGUGAAAACCCUAAUCUAUUUUCUGGGCAAGCUAGGGAAAGAAAAAUAGGAAAAAAUGCAAAAGGUGUGAAAACAUUUGCGCGAGC